AUGACCGCAGAAACCACCCCACUCCCUCGCAUGCAGGCGCACCAUGUUCUGAACAACACUGUCGGCACCCCGACAACCCACUCCAUGAUGAAACUCCCGAUUCGCAAUGUCCAGGACACUGCCGGGGCACACCAUGCUCCAGAGACAAUAGAGGCCAUCGACCUUGGCACCAUGCUGGCGCGCAUCCGUGGCUCGGCAAUGUGGACCAUGUCUUCUUCCACACCUGCACCGACGAUCGAUGUGGAGCAAUCCACAAAUAAUCACGAAGUGAGACAUGCCUAUUGGAUGCCUGGCUCCAGGGAGCCCGGGCACAAGCCCGAUGGCGACAAGAAGACUAAGGAGAAGAUGAAGAGAGAGCAAGAAGCAUCGAGCUUGAGGGAGAAGAUUGAUGCCAUGGUGCAAUCAAACGAGUCGAUGUUGUUGAAGUCGUUGGAGAUCAAGAAAGAGUUGGCCGAGAAGAAGGCAAAGGAGAAGCAAGAAAAGUGGCAAUUGCUCAAGGAAGAGCAUGCGCUUGAGGAGAGAAGAGCACGCGCUGCAGAAAACAAAGCCAUGUCCAAGCUGCUCGCCGAAGAGAACAAGAUCAUGUCAAUGAGUUGCAAUGACAUGGACGAUCUCACCAAAACAUGGCAUGAUAUGGCAAGGAGAAAUAUCUUGAAGAGGAGAAUGGUUGCGUCGGCCGGUGCGUGCUACAGUUCCGGAGAUGUUUUCUCCGCUCCAUAUGGUGGCAAUGUUGAUGAUUUCGGUGCGGAAGUUGGAACAAGCGCUAGAGGUGGAUUCGGUGGUGGCGAUGAACUUCAAGAUGGACUCGACGGCGCGGAGUAA
rnacentral:rRNA from 1 species